rnacentral:rRNA from 1 species
UACGAAGGGGGCUAGCGUUGUUCGGAAUCACUGGGCGUAAAGGGCGCGUAGGCGGCCGAUCAAGUCGGGGGUGAAAGCCUGUGGCUCAACCACAGAAUUGCCUUCGAUACUGUUUGGCUUGAGACCGGAAGAGGUUAGUGGAACUGCGAGUGUAGAGGUGAAAUUCGUAGAUAUUCGCAAGAACACCAGUGGCGAAGGCGGCUGACUGGUCCGGUUCUGACGCUGAGGCGCGAAAGCGUGGGGGGCAAACAGG